rnacentral:misc_RNA from 1 species
UCAAACUUGGUCAUUUAGAGGAAGUAAAAGUCGUAACAAGGUUUCCGUAGGUGAACCUGCGGAAGGAUCAUUAUUGAAUGAAAUCGGAGUCGGUUGUCGCUGGCCUCUUCACCGGGGCAUGUGCACGCCUUCUCUGUUCAUCCACACACACCUGUGCACUUGUGAGACGGAUUAACCCUCUCGGGGGGACGGUCCGUCUAUCAUACAUAAACUCCAAUAUAUAAAAUUGAAUGUAAUCAGAUGUAACGCAUCUUUAAACUAAGUUUCAACAACGGAUCUCUUGGCUCUCGCAUCGAUGAAGAACGCAGC